CUGGAGUUAAACUACAGAAACAAUUAAUAAUUUUCUUUAAGAAAAUAAAAUUCUAUACUUUUUUUUUUUUACCACAAAAGAUUGCAUUCCAGAUCUAGUGCAAGAUGAGCCAAUUCAGGGUUGAAUUCAGAUCAAUUGGCCACUUUCCUUGAUCAUCGCCUCUGUGGCAAAAAGUGUCCCAAUUGACCUUAAUUCACCACUAUUCUUUUUUUUAACAAAAUAAUUGAUCGUUUGGUUUUCCCUCUGCUACAUGGGAUCAGUAUUUAUAGCUAUUUGAAGCUAUAUUAGUCUGCAUUUUGGAAAUUCAAACCUGAACAAAGAAAAACCCAGGAAUGUUUUUGUCAUCAAAACAUUUCUUUUCAGCUAAAUAAAUAAAUAAAUAAAUUAGCAUCAUGGGUUAGUAAAUCAACAUGAAAUGUUAAUUCUUCUAGAAGUGAAGUCUCGAGAUGGCACCGUGUGUCCAUUAUUGUUUAUGUGUUUGUUUAUGCAGGAUCUGUUAUCUGUGAAAUGCUGUCAGUGUUCUUUCUGAAUGUCCGGAGGAUGCUGACUUCUCUUUUCUGCUGUGGAGCCAAUAAUGGGAACACAGAAGAGAAUCUGCCUCUGUCUGUUGAGGAGACUGCGUUCACUGGUCCAAUUUCAUUCUUAUGAUGAAGAAGAGGAAAACAACCAAUUACAAGUCAUGGAUCCCCUCCCCUGCUAAAAAAGCUUAAACCAUACAAUCUAAGCUGGUUACCUGGUUUUAGCUGGUCGACCGAGGGCUUUUGGCCAUUUUCAGGCUUGUGUAUACAGAAUGUGUACAUUUAAAUACGUAAUUUCAAAACCAGAACAUUACCAUUAAAAUAUAAUAGUUUUAAGCUUCAUAUACCAAAUAAUAUGCCAUUUCAAAAUGUAUUUUAGGGUCCAUUUUUAAUUUCACAAUAAAAUGGGCAUGGAGGUCUAAAGGAUGGAGGUUUUAACCCAUGCUUGGUCAAAUAUA